GGCAUGGUUUUUCAAAUGGUAGAUUGGGGGUUAGCUACCCUUGGUGUAUCUGAAUCUUUAAUAAGAUAGCUUUAUAGCUGUAUAGGGAGUUUGAGAUGACAGUACUGGAAAGUCAUGAUCUGUUGAAUAUUGUAGUGUGAAACCAGUGGGUGUGAAUGUGGCAAGUGUAAUGGUGUCACACUACAUUAUUAGAGUUACAAUUGAUCAGUGGCAUUGAGGUGUGAGUUUUCUUUCUUUAUUUUGAAAUUUAUAUUGGCGAUUACAGGAAUGAUGCACGGUCACGUGGUCACAGGUAGAAUACUCUCACGUGUACACGCAAAGGUAGAGAUGACGUCAUUUCCGUGCGCCCUCUCUCUUUUGCCGAAUGCGAUAGCGAUGAGAGGCACGGCUAGACCAGAGAUUCGCCAUUUAUUAUCUGAUGGUGUCUGUUUCAAUACAGUGAUUGGAGAAUACAGAAGCUGGAAGUAAAUCAUACGACAAU